rnacentral:rRNA from 1 species
UACGUAGGGGGCUAGCGUUGUCCGGAUUUAUUGGGCGUAAAGAGCGUGUAGGCGGCCAUGUAGGUCCGGUGUGAAAACUCGAGGCUUAACCUCGAGAUGUCAUCGGAAACCAUUUGGCUAGAGUCCGGAAGAGGAGAGUGGAAUUCCUGGUGUAGCGGUGAAUAUGCGCAGAUAUCAGGAAGAACACCAAUGGCGAAAGCAGCUCUCUGGGACGGUACUGACGCUGAGACGCGAAAGCGUGGGGAGCGAACAGG